CGACCACCAAAGCGGUCUCCACGGUGAGAAGGGGGAAAUGACGAAGUGAAGAAUCGCAGAGGCGGCUCUCCUCUUUGUCCUCCUCGGUGGCGACGAGCGCGAUUUGGUGAUCAAGUUUCACCAGGAAUCAAACUAAUGGUACUAACAUCAUGGAGUAGUUUCCACAGCAUGGAGUAGUUUCACCAGGAAUGCAUGGCCUGAAGAAUGUAUGGGGAUCAAUGCGUGCAGUAGUUUCCACAGCAUGUGAGCUCAUGGUACUAACAUCAAAAGGAGCCGCUGAUGAGAAUAUUGUAGAGCAAAGACUGCUCAAGGAGCUGUGCAAACAUGGCUUUUAAUAAAAUUGACUCGGAUAGGGAGUUUUCUUGGGCUAAAAGAUUAUGACCUGUAGCAGUC